rnacentral:rRNA from 1 species
GAGCAGUGGGGAAUAUUGGACAAUGGGCGAAAGCCUGAUCCAGCCAUGUCGCAUGAGUGAAGAAGGCCUUUGGGUUGUAAAGCUCUUUUAGUGAGGAAGAUAAUGACGGUACUCACAGAAGAAGUCCUGGCUAACUCCGUGCCAGCAGCCGCGGUAAUACGGAGAGGGCUAGCGUUAUUCGGAAUUAUUGGGCGUAAAGGGCGCGUAGGCUGAUUAAUAAGUUAAAAGUGAAAUCCCGAGGCUUAACCUUGGAAUUGCUUUUAAAACUAUUAAUCUAGAGAUUGAAAGGGGAUAGAGGAAUUCCUGAUGUAGAGGUAAAAUUCGUAAAUAUUAGGAGGAACACCAGUGGCGAAGGCAUCUAUCUGGUUCAAAUCUGACGCUGAGGCGCGAAGGCGUGGGGAGCAAACAGGAUUAGAUACCCUGGUAGUCCACGCUGUAAACGAUGAAUGUUAAAUAUGGGAAGUUUACUUUCUGUAUUACAGCUAACGCGUUAAACAUUCCGCCUGGGGACUACGGUCGCAAGAUUAAAACUCAAAUGA